GACUGCUGGGCAUGCAUGAAGUUAAGGGCAAGAAACAGUAUGCCAUGUGUUCUGUACCAUCAUGUGUCUCUUCUUGCUUCUGGGCCCUUCUACUGGUGAACUUUAAUCAAGAUCUGCGCCAUGCCGUGUCACUGUCAAGCCAUUAAGUUUUGUCUGGGUUGCUGUCAGCCCCAGUUGGCUUCGUGGUCAACAAGGACCUCAAGAACUGCCUGUGGACCGAGGCCCCCUACCAGUGCAUGAGACACACACCUACCCUCCCCAGCUUUCCAGGAACCCUACUGGCUGCCAGACUGAUGGGCGGGCUGGUAUGUGUGGACAUGUGUUCACUCUCUUUAUGCUGUGGUUCCAGGAUGUAACCAGCGAGGCCAAGGACUCCUAAGAAUCGCCUGGUUUAUUCCUGUUCCCCUAACACGCUGGCUCCCACGUGCUGGCCUUGGACCCUGGGAGGGCUGAAGGGUUACUGCAGUAGGUCUAGGAAGCCACGAG
rnacentral:lncRNA from 1 species